rnacentral:lncRNA from 1 species
UGGGUACAGUAUACUUUAUUGAUGAUACACAAUAAAGUAGGGCUCUCCAAGUCCCUCCCCUUUUUCAGAGGGUCUGGGAUGGAAACUGGAAGUCAGGAGAUUCUCAAGUGUGUUGGGGGAUGAGCUGGGGCAAGGACUCCUCAGCAGCUGAGGGCCGCUCUCUACUUCUUCCUCUUGCUGGGGCUGGUGGUCCAGUGGGCUCUUACUCCUUGGAGGCCUUGUGGACCAUAAGGCUCACCAUCUGGUGGCUAUAACCAAAUUCAUUGUCAUACCAGGAAAUGAGAUUGACACAGUGGUCAUUAAGGGAAAUGCCAGCCCCAGCAUCAAAGAUGGAAGGGUGGGUGUCACUGUUAAAGUUUCAGGAGACAGCCUGUUCCUCACUGUAACCCAGAAUACCCUUGAGGGAGCCCUCUGAUGCCUGCUUUACCACCUUCUUGAUGUCAUCAUAUUUGGCAGCUUUCUCCAGGCAGCAGGU